CCCUGGUGGCGAGUGGCGAACGGGUGAGUAAUACAUCGGAACGUGUCCUGUAGUGGGGGAUAGCCCGGCGAAAGCCGGAUUAAUACCGCAUACGCUCUACGGAGGAAAGGGGGGGAUCUUAGGACCUCCCGCUACAGGGGCGGCCGAUGGCAGAUUAGCUAGUUGGUGGGGUAAAGGCCUACCAAGGCGACGAUCUGUAGCUGGUCUGAGAGGACGACCAGCCACACUGGGACUGAGACACGGCCCAG
rnacentral:rRNA from 1 species